rnacentral:rRNA from 1 species
UACAGAGGUCUCAAGCGUUGUUCGGAUUCAUUGGGCGUAAAGGGUGCGUAGGCGGCGCAGUAAGUCGGGUGUGAAAUCUCGGAGCUUAACUCCGAAACUGCAUUCGAUACUGCCGUGCUUGAGGACUGGAGAGGAGACUGGAAUUUACGGUGUAGCGGUGAAAUGCGUAGAUAUCGUAAGGAAGACCAGUGGCGAAGGCGGGUCUCUGGACAGUUCCUGACGCUGAGGCACGAAGGCCAGGGGAGCAAACGGG